UCCGUAGGUGAACCUGCGGAAGGAUCAUUAUUG
rnacentral:rRNA from 24 species